UAGUACCUUAGAGUAUCAAGGAACUCUUAAAAACCUCUCUAAGCUUUAAGGCAACUUCGCUUAGGAACCAGUCUUUUACGGGUAGACUCACACCAUAGAGUAUCGAGGACACUCUUAAUUAAGAACUUUUAACUUUUACGGGUAAGUUAGUACCUUAGGGUAUCAAGGAACUCUUAAAAACCUAGAAAUCUUUCAAGGUAGAUUCGACCUAAGAGUUUUCCCGGAAACUCUAUAAAACCAAACUAGAGCUUUAUGGUUGAGCUCGAAAACCUUCUCUCACACUUUGGUACUAUUGAGACAACCCUCUCGACCAAAGUGGACACACACAAGAGGUGAUUAGAGGAGUGAAAUAUUAAAGCAAACAACACUUCUUACUUGUAAAGAUGAACAAGAAGAUUAGAAGAAGAAGUUGGAGAGCUUUUGAAGCUUUGGAAAGCUAGGACACUUGAGCACUUGAAAGCUUGGAAGCUUGGAGGCAAAAACGUGUGGGCAAGUGUGGAGUGAAAGCUCUUGAGUUUGCUUG
rnacentral:lncRNA from 1 species